UGGGGAAUUUUGGACAAUGGGGGAAACCCUGAUCCAGCCAUCCCGCGUGUGCGAUGAAGGCCUUCGGGUUGUAAAGCACUUUUUGCAGGAAAGAAACGUCAUGGGUUAAUACCCCGUGAAACUGACGGUACCUGCAGAAUAAGCACCGGCUAACUACGUGCCAGCAGCCGCGGUAAUACGUAGGGUGCAAGCGUUAAUCGGAAUUACUGGGCGUAAAGCGUGCGCAGGCGGUUCGGAAAGAAAGAUGUGAAAUCCCAGGGCUCAACUUUGGAACUGCAUUUUUAACUACCGGGCUAGAGUGUGUCAGAGGGAGGUGGAAGUCCGCGUGUAGCAGUGAAAUGCGUAGAUAUGCGGAGGAACACCGAUGGCGAAGGCAGCCUCCUGGGAUAACCCUGACGCUCAUGCACGAAAGCGUGGGGAGCAAACAGG
rnacentral:rRNA from 1 species